ACUAAAGUUUGUCAUUGGUAUGAGCUUUUGUGUGCAUGCACACUUUUGUGUGCAUGUAUCUGAAGAAGUGUGCAUGCACACGAAAGCUCAUACCAAUGGCAAACUAAGUUGG